UUUCUCCAUCUAGCGCCAGACCUUUUAUUAAAAGGUUGACGAGGAAAAGAGUGAUCGAAAAUUCGGCGGAUGCUCUUUCGCAGCUCUCUCAUGCGAGAUAUACCGGCAAAUAUGCGGGUAACUGCAAAACAAAUACGGUAUAAGGGAGAAUG
rfam:Firmicutes bacterium CAG:534 genomic scaffold, scf135